ACGAGAGGCACCGGCCCCGUCGGCAGCCCGUCCCGCACACCACCGCACCCCAAAACACCAGGCCUGGUCCCAGGCAUUGCCAGCAGAUGCCAGCCACGAGAUGCUGAGGAUGGAGACGGGUCUCCAAUGUGUGCGAGGGACACUGCCACACCUCCCAGACAUCUGUCGUUGACGGCAUGAGUGGAAACCAAAGGGAAAGCCCGGCUGAAACUCCAGCACGACACCGCAGUUCCCACAUUUGACACACUGCUGACGGGAGUAUUCAUUACUCAACCACCCCCCUCCCAAACCACGGAAAUCCCACCGACACAUGAGAAACAUUCGUGUGGGUGAGCCCAAAGAAAGUUCUUUCCUGAUAAAACUGACAUCAAAGCUUGCUGUUGACCAAAGGAUUUUCUUUUCCGUGUUCACGACCAUCCCAUUCAGGUAGCCACCACUGCAGCACUACGAGCAUAACCAGACGACUUGGGCAAUGUAACAACAUCCACCUUCCCUCACUGCCAUACAGACCAGCAAGACAGCAGAGAGGAACUUGACAGGGCUGGUGCAGUCUUCACCAGGAGAACCUGAGCUCCAGGACAACCCUGUGCUUCCCACCACAGAGCAGUGGCGUGACGUGGGGGUUAAGCAUGAAGACAAGCCGUUUCUCAGCAGUAACAGUCACCUCACCCUCCAUACGCCCUGCCCAUGGCUGAUGACAGUGUCAUCCCACCGAUACGAUGGAGGAAGUCCCCCACCCUGUAGGAAACCAUUGCUGGGGCCAGCUCCAUAUCUAUUACCUGUCUGAGGCAAUGCAGCGUGAUGAAAACAUGAAGGCAAAAGCGGACAUUUUCAGAAAUAAACAAAUACUGAAUUUGACACGUACAUCAGGCUCCCUCUUUGUCCAAAAGUAACCUGCGAGUGACCCCUCCCUCCUGUCCACGGAGAAAAGGAGGAGUCAGUUCUCAGCAGGGGACUCUGCUGCUACGGCCAAGCAGAAAGCAACGGGGUAACUCCACUGGGCAGCUUCUGAACACUUGCUGUACUUUGAAAGUGCACGAGUUAUCUCUGGGUUGCCAUGACUCUACAGGCAAAUUGGUGCUAGUUUGCACACGGAGGUUAAAUGGCUGCUCGUCCUCUAGGGAAAUCAACACAGGAAUUGCUGCUGCUUUGAAGUCACGGUUGCCCCAGCCUGCUCCCCUUUCAUUGUAUCAUCUCUACCUUACAGAUGAACGCAAUCCCUGUACAGAGACCUGUCUUUCAUCCCAAAUGACUCCUUGUUUCCCAAAUGCCUUCUCAAUUUUGAGGAUGAUGAGGUAUUUCAUCCCCAAAUUAGCCAACUGUAGCAGCCACCACCAGUUUUUGCACUCUUGUUUGCCUUUGGCUGAAAAAUGGUCAGGAACAGCAAAGUGCCCUUUCUACCCCUAUUACAUCUACCACCCUCAUAUCUCCUAUCAAAGGCUUCUGCCCAGCAAAAGGAUACACGAUGUCCUGAUGUUUUGCACAGGUGCUCCUCUGUCCCGAAAGGUGCUCCAGCAAGGUCUGAAUGGUCCCUGCCUCCACCGCCUCCAUCUGACAAUGACUGCUCUGAAUCUGUGCAGUCAGAAGAAGGAAUGAUUUCCAGACCAACAGCAAACUAUUGUCCUUGUUCUUUCAUCCCUCCCUCCCUCCCAACAGAGCAAUGAGACCUUCAAACUUCAAACUUUGAUCAAGUGGCCCACGACAACACUGAUGACACAGUUUAGGCAGCUGCUGGCAUCGCUCACUUCCCCACUUCACUACUCAUCCCUCAAGGCAGCAGGCCAAGCUAGCAGCUGCAGGAUUCCUCAUCAUCUUACCAUCACCUCCUCAAAGGAAGCUUAUGGCUCCCCAUCAAAGGCUGAAGCAAUCCCUUAGGGAACUCCCUUCUCAUAUUUUCCUAAGCAGUCAUUGCUUUCUUACCUGACGAAGGAAGAGGUGAAGUGCCCGAGACGUGGCCUCCGGCAGCUCUGGUAAGUUGGCUUUUGCUGCCUCCCGAAGAAUCAGGCUAAUUUCUUUUUGAGAAAUAACAUUGCUGCUCUGGUACCUCACAAACUUGAACAAAGGAAAUGAGAGAGGCAUUAGAGAACAACCCAUACACUCCAACAAUGACGCAUCACCUGGAAAGACCUCUUCCAUGCAAAGGGAUGUUGCAGCACCCUAACCACAGGCCUGAUUUUUAUACCACUUCUAAUGGAACCAGCGCAAAUAUCCAUGUUGGUGGUGCUCUAGCUAGACUUAGUUUAGGUCAAGAAGAAAUCGAAAUAAUCCAGGUAACCUUUCAAAAGUGAAAUAAGUAUAACAAAGAUUCACAGACCCAUCAUGUAUACGGGGGUGGAGGGUUCACAUUAAUAACCCCUUCCUCUCACCUACUGCCAUGAGGACUUUAUCCUCAGUAUUUCUGCUGGGUAGGAUCACACUCCCUCUCUUGCUCACAGGCCCCACAUACAGCAGGGUCACAGACUGGUAAUUCCCUGACUUGAAAAUUCAGGUCUGUAAGGCCAAAGACUGGAAGAGAAGCUGUGAUGCCAAGCAGAACUUUGCUCUCCAACAAGCCACAGCAUGCUCCCAGACUGGCAACAGCAGUUGCAUGUUCUCUGUAGGCUUCCCCUCUCCUCCCCAGGGGCUCUAGGUGAUCUAAAUCAAUGCUACAAAAACACCAAAAGAACAGGAUGCGCUCAGUUAGAGCAGUCAGUUUCUGCACAGCGUGGAAGGGAAGUUCACUUGAAAGUACAAUUAUUAUAGGACACAAAUAUAGUGACGGACAAAACCACAGUAGUAUCUGAGAUCGCGUAUGUGCAGGAGGUAAGUUCCAGUAAACAACCCAGAUGUACUGUACCAACAUACGAGAACAAAACAGAGCACAGCCCACCCCUCCCCUGCUCACCAAAGUCACGAGUCUGAGAAUUUCUGGCUGCAGAACGGAUUUCUGGCCCCCACUGAGCAGUGUCAAGAGCAGGAAUCGGUGCCAGGGCUGUGAAGCAACGUGUAGUGCUGCGAGAGAAGGAGAAACCAAAGACUGCUCUAAAAUCUGCCAAGCGACAGGCUGGGUCUGCAAAAGGAGUCUUCCAGUUCUGAACCCAUGUUUUCUCUUCUAGACCCCAAGCUGUGAAACACCAAGGGGGCAUUUUGCUCUGUUCUUACUUGCUUUUAAAUCCGUCACUCUUUGGGCAAGAGUUUAGUCAUGAGGACAAAAGCUUAAUAGUUUUUUAAAACAGAAAAUAGAUUUUGUCCAAUGUUGUGCUUGUGCAGGAAGAGAAACCUUCUCCUGGGGUGCAUGUCAUAAAAUACCAAGGGAAUAUCUUUAGCCCAAGGUUUUAAAAAUAUACCCUCUGGUUUCAAUAUGAGGACAAGUUUCCUGACCACAGGUUUUAUUUAGCUCCAGAAUACUCUUUGGGGAAUGAAGAAAGCCCUAUAACAUAAGCUGCACAAACUGAGCCUGGAUCUGCAUCAGAGCGUACUACAGGGACCAGCCAGGCUGAUGGCAGCAGUGCAAACAAUCAGCAGAGAAAAUGUUCUUAAUUAAAAGCGUGUAAGAUAAGCAGAAGUAAGGCUCAAGGUUACUGGCUGUGACAUGGUGAAAUCUCUCACUAAAGUUAAGUUGUAUUACCUUGUAUUUACUGCUGUUUGAGAAGGCAAGAUGGACAACUACAACAGGUCAGCAGAUACAAUUUGUUACAGCUUGGCCACCAGGUUUGAACCCUUUCAGAAAGGUCCCUUUUCCACUGGCAGCUGCAUAACCUCCCUAUUGCCACUGCAACAAUCUUUGCUGUGGUAAAGCAACACCAAAAAAGCAUGUAAAGUGUUUGGGAAGGGGGGGUAUCUUUUAGCUGGAGGAAAUGAGAAUGCACCAGUGCUGUGCACUGAGUGUGCCCUGCACAUCUGCAAGAAUCUCUGGACCAAGAGAGGAUUUUAGUAAGCCUCAAACGAGGAAACUUCUACAGGCAGAGUCCAGGCCACAGCCUUUGCAAUGUUCUCGCUUCUUUCAGCCAAACAUACUAAAAACCCUCAUUCCACUUGGGAGACUCUUGCUAGCACAGUUGUGAACUUCUGCACCACUGCAAGAAUUUAGACAGCCAAAGUGAAUGGUUCAGCUGUUACUGAAACAUUUUGUUACCAUAAUCCCAGAUCAGUGGAAGGUCCCCAAAACGUGCCUUUUAACGGACUCCCUUCAGCUACUGGCUGUCAUUCAUCUGCAGUAUUACAUUUUUAUUCAACAGCUUCCUCUCUCCCAACAAUGUCCCUUUUGUCUGGUGUUCAUUCACUCCGUUCCCUUCUCUCUCAGUGUUUACGUGACUGAUUUGAACAGGUCAGGGUACAGAAAACUAAUUUUCUGUUUUAAGAUCAGAGACAACAUCUCCACUUUGUAGGCUGACAAUGAGCAGAAGGGUCUACACUUCCCCUGACUGUACGAUGCUGUCACAUUACGUUAUACAGCUAGCAUGGUAUACAUUCAGUCUGACACGGACUCCUGAAAGCAAGGUCUGCAUUCGCCCCCGGAAAUCUAGAAUUUCCAGCUUCCAUUUCCUAAGGCUGUUUACAACCCUCUUCUCCCUUCCUAUCCCUAAGGGCCAAACUGUGGCCAACGUCUCUGUGUGGAAGACAAAUCAUAUUCAUAUCUUUCCUCCCUCCCUUCCUACCCCCCCUAUCUUUAUGGUCCAAAGGUUUGCUAAAUUGGGCUGGAAGUGAAAGACUAUUCCUAUAUUACUUCAUUCCCUAAAUCUUUCACUUUUACCACAUUAGGGUAUGGGGUGAUUGUGACCUUUUUUUCUUCUGGAAAACAUCUUGGUGCUCAGAGACAAAGUGAAGGCUCACUCCUAAAGGGGAGCAAGGCACUGUGAUUUCAUCCCACAAAGCACGUAAGAUUACCUUUGAGGAUACAAAUACUUUUUCUUAUUGGGCAUAAGCUCAUUAAACAUCUGCUCCAGGGCAUUAUUGGAUGGAGAUCAAAGAGCCCAAAAUCACUGCAGGAGGGAAACCCAGGAGAAGGAAGGGCAGGAAGACUUUACCAACAUCCUGGUUCUUCACACACAGGUAUUCCAGUAAGGUUUCCAGGCAGGCAACCACAGCUUGAGAAAGCAGCAAGUCUUUCUGGAAUCCCAGGGAUGGGGGGGGAAGGAACGACAAAGA